CAAUAGCGUAUAUUAAAGUUGUUGCAGUUAAAAAGCUCGUAGUUGGAUUUGUGGCGUACGGUGGGUUCCGGGCACUUGUUGUCUGAGUAACUUGCUGUUGCCAUCCUUGGGUGGAACCUGUGUGGCAUUAGGUUGUCGUGCAGGGGAUGCCCAUCAUUUACUGUGAAAAAAUUAGAGUGUUCAAAGCAGGCUUAUGCCGUUGAAUAUAUUAGCAUGGAGUAAUGAGAUAGGACUUUUUUGCUAUUUUGUUGGUUUGCGCAAAGAGGUAAUGAUUAAUAGGGACAGUUGGGGGUAUUCGUAUUCCAUUGUCAGAGGUGAAAUUCUUGGAUUUUUGGAAGACGAACUACUGCGAAAGCAUUUACCAAGGAUGUUUUCAUUAA
rnacentral:rRNA from 1 species